rnacentral:rRNA from 1 species
GACGAACGCUGGCGGCGUGCUUAACACAUGCAAGUCGAGCGAACAGAUGAGGAGCUUGCUCCUCUGACGUUAGCGGAGGACGGGUGAGAAACACGUGUAUAACCUACCUAUAAUACUGGGAUAACUUCGGGAAACCGGAGCUAAUACCGGAGAAUAUACUGAACCGCAUGGGUCAAUGGUGAAAUACGGUUUUGCUGUCAGUAAUAGAUGGAUCUGCGCCGCAUUAGCUGGUUGUUAGGUUAACGGCUUACCAAGGCAACGAUGCGUAGCCGAACUGAGAGGGUGGUCGGCCACACUGGAGCUGGAACACGGUCCAGACUCCUACGGGACGCAGCAGUCGGGAAUCUUCCGCAGUGGGCGAAAGCAUGACGGAACAACGCCACGUGAGUGGUGGAGGUCUUCGGAUCGUAAAGCUCUGUUAUUGGGGAAAAACAAAUGUGUAAGUAACUGUGCACGUAUUGACGGUAACUGAUCAGAAAGCCACGGCUAACUACGUG